rnacentral:rRNA from 1 species
UGGGACGAGAAGACCCUAUAGAGUUUUAUAAUUUUUGUAAUUAAAAUUAUAAAUUAAUUUAAUAUUUUUAAUUAUGUGGAUUAUUUUGUUGGGGUGACAGAAAAAUAAAAAUAACUUUUUUUAUUAAAUUUCAUGAAUAAAUGAAUAAAUGAUCCAAUAUUAUUGAUUAAAAGAAAAA